rnacentral:lncRNA from 1 species
GCCAGUGGGCAGGUGCCUUUCCAGGACAUGCAUAGAACUCAGCUUGGUACAGCUCUGUUUGCAACAAGAUCCUGAGAAAAGGCCAUCAGCAAGCAGUUUAUUGUCCCAUGUUUUCUUCAAACAGAUGAAAGAAGAAAGCCAGGAUUCAAUACUUUCACUGUUGCCUCCUGCUUAUAACAAGCCAUCAAUAUCAUUGCCUCCAGUGUUACCUUGGACUGAGCCAGAAUGUGAUUUUCCUGAUGAAAAAGACUCAUACUGGGAAUUCUAGGGCUGCCAAAUCAUUUUAUGUCCUAUAUACUUGACACUUUCUCCUUGCUGCUUUUUCUUCUGUAUUUCUAGGUACAAAUACCAGAAUUAUACUUGAAAAUACAGUUGGUGCACUGGAGAAUCUAUUAUUUAAAACCACUCUGUUCAAAGGGGCACCAGUUUGUAGUCCCUCUGUUUCGCACAGAGUACUAUGACAAGGAAACAUCAGAAUUACUAAUCUAGCUAGUGUCAUUUAUUCUGGAAUUUUUUUCUAAGCUGUGACUAACUCUUUUUAUCUCUCAAUAUAAUUUUUGAGCCAGUUAAUUUUUUUCAGUAUUUUGCUGUCCCUUGGGAAUGGGCCCUCAGAGGA